rnacentral:tRNA from 1 species
GGAGAGAUGGCAGAGUGGUCUAUUGCGGCGGUCUUGAAAACCGCUGGGCAGCGAUGUCCCAGGAGUUCGAAUCUCCUUCUCUCCUCCA